rnacentral:rRNA from 1 species
UACAGAGGGUGCAAGCGUUGUUCGGAAUUAUUGGGCGUAAAGCGCGUGUAGGCGGCCUUGCAAGUCGGGUGUGAAAGCCCUCAGCUCAACUGAGGAAGUGCGCCCGAAACUGCAGAGCUUGAGUACCGGAGAGGAUGGUGGAAUUCCCCAAGUAGAGGUGAAAUUCGUAGAUAUGGGGAGGAACACCGGUGGCGAAGGCGACCAUCUGGACGGAUACUGACGCUGAGGAACGAAAGCCAGGGUAGCGAACGGG